rnacentral:misc_RNA from 1 species
UAUGUCUGGCUGCUGAUCGCCUCGGCGAUCCUGUCCUGGCUGAUCGCCUUCAACGUGGUGAACACCCGCAACGGGUUCGUCGCGUCGGUGGCCGAGUUCCUCUACAAGAUCACCGAGCCGGUGCUGCGGCCGAUCCGGAACAUUAUGCCGAAUUUCGGCGGUCUCGAUAUUUCGCCGAUCAUCGUCAUUCUCAUCAUCAUGUUCAUCCAGCGCGUGAUUUCCUACUACAUCUACCCGAACGUGAUCUGACCGCGAGGCGUCCCCGUUCCAUCUCUCGCAU